GCCAGUAUGUACUGGUGAGAAACAACGCUUUGCGAGACCGUUCUCUCUCCUCCCGGUAAACUUUCCAUUUUGGUCGUUAUACGACAGUCUUAUCAUAUUAUUGGUUUAAUAGACGUAUCGCUUUAAGCAUGCAAUCUAUCUGUAGGUUUUGGGAGAUAUGUCUAAGACCGUUUCGCUCUAGCGCCAGUGCUGGACCCGUGCCACUGCCGUAGUACCUCGAAACCCAACUCAUUCCGAGCAGGUUAGGCGGCUGCGUCUCGGACAGUGUGACACAUUACUUACUGGUGGUGGCGAAGGAGAGGGGUGUGCUUUAUCCGGACAGCGGUUCAAUUUCCUUCUCUCUUUAUUCUACGCUUGAGACAGGACAGAGAAAGGAAAAUGCAUCUGGCGCUCUGAGAACGAUAGGAAGAAAGUGGAGUUAUGAACCAACGGUGUACAAGGACAUAACUACAGAGAAACAGAACGUCUGUCAGAAGAGCACAAGAAGGAAUAGCGUUUGAAGAAAGAACAAAACGUUUAAAACUACAUCGAUUGAGAGAAAUGAGCACCUUGUGACAGAUGGAUGUUGAUCCGUCUCUCCGGAAAUGUGGAGCGGCAGUGAAUGAACGAGUGAGGUGGAAGUGGAGAGCGAUACCGGUGGAGGACAGGUCAGCACUAGCCGUAAAAGGGACGAGAGUGGAGGUUGG
ensembl:lncRNA